rnacentral:rRNA from 1 species
GAUGAACGCUGGCGGCGUGCCUAACACAUGCAAGUCGAACGGGAAGCUCACUUCGGUGAGUGGAGAGUGGCGAACGGGUGAGUAACGCGUAGCUAACCUGCCCUCAAGAGUGGGAUAACUACUGGAAACAGUAGCUAAUACCACAUAAGCUUACGGACUGUAGAGGUUUGUAAGAAAAAGCUUUAGCGCUUGGGGAUGGGGCUGCGAACCAUCAGCUAGAUGGUGGGGUAAGAGCCUACCAUGGCAACGACGGUUAGGGGACCUGAGAGGGUGACCCCCACACUGGAACUGAGACACGGUCCAG